UUUGAAGAAAAACGUUCUUUUCACAGAACAUCACUCAGUCAUCUCGCAUUUGUAUUUUAGUUACAUUUUCCAAAAUAUCGCUUAAGCUUUGCACAAAUCUGUGAUGGAAACCCGCCUGCUGUCACAGAUAGAAAAUGUUCUGGCACUCUGGAUCCUUGGUGGGGGGGUUCCCGGUUCCCUCCCAGUUCCCUCCUGGUUCCCUCCUGGUUCCCUCCCGGUUCCCUCCCGGUUCCCUCCUGGUUCCCUCUCGACCUGUAAACAGUGUUACAGAUCGGGAGGGAACAUGCACAACAUGCUGCUGUACUGUGUAACUGAUAAACAGAAGUUCAGAAGUCUGCGUGCAUUAUUAAUACCAUAACUUCUCUCGUCCGGAUUUGUUUUCAUUUUAGACACGUGUACGACUGAUGCGACAAUCUGCGGAAACGGAACCUGCCACCGCGGAGCCAGCGGCCAUUACUGCGCGUGUCACGCUGGGUUCACGAACUACGGCAACAACCAGUCUCGCUGCACGGCGUUAAACUGUGAUGAAUUUGAAGAUACGAAGAAUCUGCAAGAGGAAUUCCUCGUUGCACGUGAUCUUGUGAUGCAGUUGAAAACAAGCUGUGUGAAUCUUACAGAAAGUCAGUAUCCAACGGCGCUGAAUGGAGAGAAAAUACUAAAGAGAGUGCUGUCUGCCAUCGACCAGCUCUUAUCUGGCGAAACGUUCAGAGACAACCGGAUAGUCUCGUCCUUUCUGGACAUGAUGGACAAAAGUCUGAGACUCAUUGGGCCUUUAUUUGAGGCCCCCAGGAUGAAAAAAAACUCCACACAAGCAGAGCUGGAGCUGCUGGUGCAUAAGGGGGCGGAUUUACCCAAAGGAGCUGUGAAUCUAUCAACCGAUCAAGCUCGGCUGGACAUCCGUUUGGAGACAGCUGCUGGA